rnacentral:rRNA from 1 species
UACAGAGGUCCCAAGCGUUGUUCGGAUUCAUUGGGCGUAAAGGGUGCAUAGGUGGUCGGGUAAGUCUGAUGUGAAAUCUCGGAGCUCAACUCCGAAACGGCAUUGGAUACUAUUCGGCUGGAGGGUUGGAGGGGAGACUGGAAUACUUGGUGUAGCAGUGAAAUGCGUAGAUAUCAAGUGGAACACCAGUGGCGAAGGCGAGUCUCUGGACAUUUCCUGACGCUGAGGCACGAAAGCCAGGGGAGCAAACGGG